AAAAGAACUUUGAAGAGAGAGUUCAAAAGGGCGUGAAACCGCUUAGAAGAAAACGGACGGAACCGUCUGACGCCCUCGGGAAUCAGUCGAACGACGCGCGAACGCGUCUCGAUCGUCGGAGCGUAAAAGUCCGGCUCGAGGCGUCUAGUAGUCGCGUUCGUAAGGCGCAUUUCUCGAGGGUUAGCGCCGCGACCGAUGCGAACGGCCGACGACGCCGUCGAGUUGAGGUCGAACGCCCUUCGCGGGUAUUCGUAACCAGCUCGUUCGGUAGACUCGUCGGAUCUAAUAUAUAAAGCAUCGAGCGAAUACUAUAAAUACGUCGGCGUAAAACGCUCGACGAGCGGCGGAGACUCGGCCAGUCGUUCGGUACCUGCUCGCAGGUUCUCGUUCGGCGCGAGGUCGUUUCCCGAUGUCGCCGUCGACGCUACCGACGUUUAGGCGUCCGCGGCGUCCGAGUCGGCCACCCGUCCGACCCGUCUUGAAACACGGACCAAGGAGUCUAACGUACGCGCGAGUUAAUGGGUGGAAAACCCAUAAGCGCAAUAAAAGUAAAAGUCGUCCCAAGACGGCCGAGGUACGAUCCUAGACUACGCGUCUAGGCGCAGUACCGUCCCGUCCCGACCGCACGUCGGUAGGGCGGAGAUUGAGCGCAUACGUUGGGACCCGAAAGAUGGUGAACUAUGCCUGAGCAGAGCGAAGCCAGAGGAAACUCUGGUGGAGGUUCGUAGCGGUUCUGACGUGCAAAUCGAUCGUCAGACUUGGGUAUAGGGGCGAAAGACUAAUCGAACCAUC
rnacentral:rRNA from 1 species